AGAGUUUGAUCAUGGCUCAGGAUGAACGCUAGCGGCAGGCCUAAUACAUGCAAGUCGAACGUGAUUGUCGUAGCAAUAUGACAUGAAAGUGGCGCACGGGUGCGUAACACGUAUGCAAUCUACCUUUAAUAGGAGAAUAGCUUCGAGAAAUCGGAAUUAAUGCUCCAUAACAUUAUUAAGUGGCAUCACUUGAUAAUCAAACCUCCGGGGAUUAAAGAUGAGCAUGCGGAACAUUAGCUAGUUGGUAAGGUAAUGGCUUACCAAGGCUACGAUGUUUAGGGGGUCUGAGAGGAUGAUCCCCCACACUGGUACUGAGACACGGACCAGACUCCUACGGGAGGCAGCAGUAGGGAAUAUUGGGCAAUGGAGGAAACUCUGACCCAGCCAUGCCGCGUGCAGGAUGACGGCCCUCUGGGUUGUAAACUGCUUUUAUACGGGAAGAAAAAAUAGUACGUGUACUAUACUGACGGUACCGUAAGAAUAAGGAUCGGCUAACUCCGUGCCAGCAGCCGCGGUAAUACGGAGGAUCCAAGCGUUGUCCGGAUUUAUUGGGUUUAAAGGGUGCGUAGGCGGACUCGUAAGUCAGUGGUGAAAGCCUGCAGCUUAACUGUAGAAUUGCCAUUGAAACUGUGAGUCUUGAAUUUGGUUAAAGUAGGCGGAAUGUAUCAUGUAGCGGUGAAAUGCUUAGAUAUGAUACAGAACACCGAUAGCGAAGGCAGCUUGCUGAACCAAUAUUGACGCUGAGGCACGAAAGCGUGGGGAGCGAACAGGAUUAGAUACCCUGGUAGUCCACGCCCUAAACGUUGAUUACUCGUUGUUGGCGAUAUACUGUCAGCGACCAAGCUAAAGCGUUAAGUAUCCACCUGAA
rnacentral:rRNA from 1 species